rnacentral:rRNA from 1 species
CAGUCGCCACGGUAAUACGUAGGGUGCGAGCGUUAAUCGGAAUUACUGGGCGUAAAGCGUGCGCAGGCGGUUUUGUAAGACAGGCGUGAAAUCCCCGGGCUCAACUUGGGAAUGGCGUUUGUGACUGCAAAGCUAGAGUGCGGCAGAGGGGGAUGGAAUUCCGCGUGUAGCAGUGAAAUGCGUAGAUAUGCGGAGGAACACCGAUGGCGAAGGCAAUCCCCUGGGCCUGCACUGACGCUCAUGCACGAAAGCGUGGGGAGCGAACAGGAUUAGAGACCCCUGUAGUCCCUGUCUCUUAUAC